AUUGAACGCUGGCGGAAUGCUUUACACAUGCAAGUCGAACGGCAGCACGGACUUCGGUCUGGUGGCGAGUGGCGAACGGGUGAGUAAUGUAUCGGAACGUGCCCAGUCGUGGGGGAUAACGUAGGGAAAAUUACGCUAAUACCGCAUACGAUCUAUGGAUGAAAGCGGGGGAUCGCAAGACCUCGCGCGAUUGGAGCGGCCGAUAUCAGAUUAGGUAGUUGGUGGGGUAAAGGCCCACCAAGCCAACGAUCUGUAGCUGGUCUGAGAGGACGGCCAGCCACACUGGAACUGAGACACGGGCCAGACUCCUACGGGAGGCAGCAGUGGGGGAUGUUGGACAAUGGACGAAAGCCUGAUCCAGCCAUUCCGCGUGCAGGAUGAAGGCCAUCGGGUUGUAAACUGCUUUUGUACAGAACGAAAAAGUUUCUACUAAUACUGGGAGCUCAUGACGGUACUGUAAGAAUAAGCACCGGCUAACUACGUGCCAGCCGCCGCCGUAA
rnacentral:rRNA from 1 species